rnacentral:rRNA from 1 species
CCUACGGGUGGCAGCAGUAGGGAAUCUUCCACAAUGGGCGAAAGCCUGAUGGAGCAACGCCGCGUGGGUGAAGAAGGUCUUCGGCUCGUAAAACCCUGUUGUUAGAGAAGAAAGUGCGUGAGAGUAACUGUUCACGUUUCGCCGGUAUCUAACCAGAAAGCCACGGCUAACUACGUGGCAGCAGCCGCGGUAAUACGUAGGGGGCAAGCGUUAUCCGGAUUGAUGGGGGUAAAGGGGUGCGCAGGCGGCCUGUUAAGUCAGCGGGAAAAGCCCGGGGCUCAACCCCGGCGAGCCGUUGAAACUGGCGGGCUGGAGUGGGAGAGAAGUACGCUGAAUGCGCGGUGUAGCGGUGAAAUGCUUAGAUAUCGCGCAGAACCCCGAUUGCGAAGGCAGCGUACCGGCUCCACACUGACGCUGAGGCACGAAAGCGUGGGUAGCGAACAGGAUUAGAUACCCGUGUAGUC